rnacentral:rRNA from 1 species
AAAGAGGGGGACCUUCGGGCCUCUCGCGUUAGGAUAUGCCCAGGUGGGAUUAGCUAGUUGGUGAGGUAAGGGCUCACCAAGGCGACGAUCCCUAGCUGGUCUGAGAGGAUGAUCAGCCACACUGGAACUGAGACACGGUCCAGACUCCUACGGGAGGCAGCAGUGGGGAAUAUUGCACAAUGGGCGCAAGCCUGAUGCAGCCAUGCCGCGUGUAUGAAGAAGGCCUUCGGGUUGUAAAGUACUUUCAGUCGUGAGGAAGGUAGUGUAGUUAAUAGCUGCAUUGCUUGACGUUAGCGACAGAAGAAGCACCGGCUAACUCCGUG